AGCUAAGCAUACAUCCACGUCACCAAUUAUUUGCCUCUGAUGGGCUUGAACCAAAUUCGGUCUCUGGGUUUCGAAAUCUUCGCCGGUUCCGUUUCCUUAACGCGGAGACGAUGAAUCCUCACACAACUCCACUUCCUCUGCAAUCAGUUCUCCCAAAUCAAACAAUAAUGGAUUCAUUUCAACUUUCUACCUCUUUAUUUCUUUAUAAAUCUCUUUUUUUCUCGGAUACUCUCUUCUUCUCUGAUUCCGACGAUGAAUUCACACCAAAGAGCCAGGGCGACGUCCCGACUUUCCCUAGCUGAUAUGAAAACUUCUCGACAACGACAUAUGUUGUCAGACGUCUUUUUCGUUUAUGGUUAACUGAUUAUCAUUUACUUACCAGCUCAUGUAUCUACUGGAUGCUACUGGAUUUUAUUCCCUCGGGCUUCAAGCUCUUGGGGUUCGAGUUGUCGAGCUACAGGGCAAGAACUGGUAUCCACUUCUUCUUCUUUUUUCUUUCAUGAAAUUUAUCCUCUGUAUGAUUGGUGUUAAUGAACGCUCUUUAAAUCGCACGUCGUAUUCAGGUGAUAUGAUUGUGUUAAUUUCAGCUCUGUUUCCACGUUUUGAUCGGUUGUGUAGUGAAUUAUUUUGUCAGUGAUGUGCUGUUUGGUUUAGGGGAUUUGAAGAGAAGGGUGACAGGAUUUAAACCAACACCGAUCUUUGUAGUCGUAAGGCAUUAGAAAUUUUAAGAUUGUGUUGGCAUUUGUUUUAGUUGAGUUUGGCUCUUCGUGUUGUGAUUUUCUGCAUUUCGUUGCAGAUUCAAGAGCUUAAGCAGUUUCCAUUCUCCCAGGUGAGCAAUGGUUUGGAUUACAUUACAUAUCUAACUUUUAAUUGACGGCAGUGGUUAUUUUUGUAAAGAUGUGUUGGUACUUCUAGGAUACCUGGGAGCAUGUUCGGAUCAAUGGAAAGGUUGAGGUCAUUGAUGCCUCAAAUUCUGACCAGACCAAGCUUCAGGCUUCGUUUGCUAAUUCUCUAAAGUCAAGGCUGAUGUACAUCUGUCCUGCGCCUGGUACUCCUUACAACAAUGAGCAACCAAAUCAAGAAGGUCACUGAAGCUUGCUAUAGAAAGCUAGAAGAAAGUAGAGAGGCAGAGCAAGAGCGAAUUGUGAGGCUGGAGCAAAAACAUGCAGACAUUCUCCAGCUAUAAGCUAACGAAGCAAAGAGGAGGCUGAUUGGUGGAUUAUUUGUAAAAACGUGGACAGUAUUCAAACUCUAGAUGCAAAUCUGUUUCAUUACUUGAUUUGCUAACGCCACUGUAUGUGCAGGUUGCAGAGUUUAAACACCCCCUCCGUGUUAAGCUAACACCAAAGAAGAAAACUUGUGCUUCCAAAAGAAUUUGAUACUACAACCGCUCCGUGUUUGUGCACCAGUAUUGGAAGGAUUCUAGGGAUCUGGUGGUGUUACAAUCAAAAAGACCACCCAACCUUUGGUAUCUUCUGUGACAAUAUGGUUGUAAAGAGGCUUGGUGACUACCUGAUUGAAUCAGGGCUCUUGAAACUUAAGUUGCUGCUAUGUUCAUGUCGCCCAUAUGUCUUCAUAUUGGAAAGAAAAAUAUUUUUAUUAAUUCAUGGCAGUAUCGUACCA